rnacentral:rRNA from 1 species
GAUGAACGCUGGCGGCGUGCUUAACACAUGCACGUCGAACGGUGAAAGCGGAGCUUGCUCUGCUGGAUCAGUGGCGAACGGGUGAGUAACACGUGAGCAAUCUGCCCCUGACUCUGGGAUAAGCGCUGGAAACGGCGUCUAAUACCGGAUACGAGCUGCGAAGGCAUCUUCAGCAGCUGGAAAGAACUUCGGUCAGGGAUGAGCUCGCGGCCUAUCAGCUAGUUGGUGAGGUAACGGCUCACCAAGGCGUCGACGGGUAGCCGGCCUGAGAGGGUGACCGGCCACACUGGGACUGAGACACGGCCCAGACUCCUACGGGAGGCAGCAGUGGGGAAUAUUGCACAGUGGGCGCAAGCCUGAUGCAGCAACGCCGCGUGAGGGAUGACGGCCUUCGGGUUGUAAACCUCUUUUAGUAGGGAAGAAGCGAAAGUGACGGUACCUGCAGAAAAAGCACCGGCUAACUACGUGCCAGCUGCCGCAGUAA